rnacentral:lncRNA from 1 species
UAUCUGGUGAUAGGAUAGUGUUCUGACAUCUACACUAAUAUAACAGGUCAGUUAUCUGGUGAUAGUAUAGUGUUCUGACAUCUACACUACUAUAACAGGUCAGUUAUCUGGUGAUAGUAUAGAGUUCUGACAUCUACACUACUAUAACAGGUCAGUUAUCUGGUGAUAGUAUAGUGUUCUGACAUCUACACUACUAUAACAGGUCAGUUAUCUGGUGAUAGUAUAGUGUUCUGACAUGUAUACUACUUUAACAGGUCAGUUAUCUGGUGAUAGUGUUCUGACAUCUACACUACUAUAACAGGUCAGUUAUCUGGUGAUAGUAUAGUGUUCUGAUAUCUACACUACUAUAACAG